rnacentral:tRNA from 1 species
UCCCUGGUGGCUCAGUGGUGAAGAAUCUGCCUGCCAAGGCAGGAGACACAGGUUCGAUCCCUGGUCUGGGAA